UACGUAGGGGGCAAGCGUUGUCCGGAAUCAUUGGGCGUAAAGCGCGUGUAGGCGGCUUGGUUAGUCCGUUCUGAAAGCCCGGGGCUCAACCCCGGGAGGCGGAUGGAUACUGUCAAGCUUGAGUCCGGAAGAGGCGAGUGGAAUUCCCGGUGUAGCGGUGAAAUGCGCAGAUAUCGGGAGGAACACCAAUGGCGAAGGCAGCUCGCUGGGACGUGACUGACGCUGAGACGCGAAAGCGUGGGGAGCAAACAGG
rnacentral:rRNA from 1 species